rnacentral:rRNA from 1 species
AUUGGAAUGAGUACACUUUAAAUCCCUUAACAAGGACCUAUUGGAGGGCAAGUCUGGUGCCAGCAGCCGCGGUAACUCCAGCUCCAAUAGCGUAUAUUAAAGUUGUUGCGGUUAAAACGUUCGUAGUUGAACUUGUGCUUCAUACGGGUAGUACAGCUAUAAUUGUAGUUUGUACUAUACCUUAUGUAUGUAAGCGUAUUACCGGUGGAGUUCUUAUAUGCGUUAAAUACUUGUAUUUGCGUAUGUUCCUCCUAUUUAAACCUGCUUCAGUGCUCUUCACCGAGUGUUGUUGUGGGCCGGUACAAUUACUUUGAACAAAUUAGAGUGCUUAAAGCAGGCUCCAAAUGCCUGAAUAUUUUGUGCAUGGAAUAAUGAAAUAAGACCUCUGUUCUACUUUCAUUGGUUGUUAGAUCAAGAGGUAAUGAUUAAUAGAAGCAGUUUGGGGGCAUUAGUAUUACGACGCGAGAGGUGAAAUUCUUGGACCGUCGUAAGACUAACUUAAGCGAAAGCAUUUGCCAAAGAUGUUUUCAUUAAUCAAGAACGAAAGUUAGAGGUUCGAAGGCGAUCAGAUACCGCCCUAGUUCUAACCAUAAACGAUGCCAGCUAGCAAUUGGGUGUAGCUACUUUCAUGGCUCUCUCAGUCGCUUCCCGGGAAACCAAAGCUUUUGGGCUCCGGGGGAAGUAUGGUUGCAAAGCUGAAACUUAAAGGAAUUGACGGAAGGGCACCACC